GAAGCUAAGCCUCUCAGCGCCGAUGGUACUGCAAGGGGGACCUUGUGGGAGAGUAGGACGCCGCCGGAC
rnacentral:rRNA from 3 species